GAACGCUGGCGGCGUGCUUAACACAUGCAAGUCGAACGGAAAGGCCCUGCUUUUGUGGGGUGCUCGAGUGGCGAACGGGUGAGUAACACGUGAGUAACCUGCCCUUGACUUUGGGAUAACUUCAGGAAACUGGGGCUAAUACCGGAUAGGAGCUCCUGCUGCAUGGUGGGGGUUGGAAAGUUUCGGCGGUUGGGGAUGGACUCGCGGCUUAUCAGCUUGUUGGUGGGGUAGUGGCUUACCAAGGCUUUGACGGGUAGCCGGCCUGAGAGGGUGACCGGCCACAUUGGGACUGAGAUACGGCCCAGACUCCUACGGAGGCAGCAGUGGGGAAUAUUGCACAAUGGGCGGAAGCCUGAUGCAGCAACGCCGCGUGCGGGAUGACGGCCUUCGGGUUGUAAACCGCUUUCGCCUGUGACGAAGCGUGAGUGACGGUAAUGGGUAAAGAAGCACCGGCUAACUACGUG
rnacentral:rRNA from 1 species